rnacentral:rRNA from 1 species
GUAACCGGAGGAAGGUGGGAUGACGUCAAGUCCUCAUGGCCUUUAUGCCCAGGGCUACACACGUGCUACAAUGGGUGGUACAAAGAGAUGCAAUCUCGCAAGAGGCAAGACAAACCUCAAAAAGCCAUCCUCAGUUCGGAUUGGAGUCUGCAACUCGACUCCAUGAAGUCGGAAUCGCUAGUAAUCGCGGAUCAGCACGCCGCGGUGAAUACGUUCCCGGGCCUU